rnacentral:rRNA from 1 species
UAGAGUUUGAUCCUGGCUCAGAUUGAACGCUGGCGGCAUGCCUUACACAUGCAAGUCGAACGGUAACAGGUCUUUCGGGAUGCUGACGAGUGGCGAACGGGUGAGUAAUACAUCGGAACGUGCCUAGUAGUGGGGGAUAACUACUCGAAAGAGUGGCUAAUACCGCAUGAGAUCUAUGGAUGAAAGCAGGGGACCUUCGGGCCUUGUGCUACUAGAGCGGCCGAUGGCAGAUUAGGUAGUUGGUGGGAUAAAAGCUUACCAAGCCUGCGAUCUGUAGCUGGUCUGAGAGGACGAUCAGCCACACUGGGACUGAGACACGGCCCAGACUCCUACGGGAGGCAGCAGUGGGGAAUUUUGGACAAUGGGGGAAACCCUGAUCCAGCAAUGCCGCGUGCAGGAUGAAGGCCUUCGGGUUGUAAACUGCUUUUGUACGGAACGAAAAGUCUUGGGUUAAUACCCUGGGAUCAUGACGGUACCGUAAGAAUAAGCACCGGCUAACUACGUGCCAGCAGCCGCGGUAAUA